GUUCCUGUAGUGCAAUGGAUAGCGCGUUCGACUUCUAAUCCAAAGGUCGUGGGUUCAAAUCCUACCUGGGAUA
rnacentral:tRNA from 1 species